rnacentral:rRNA from 1 species
AUUGAACGCUGGCGGCAGGCUUAACACAUGCAAGUCGAGCGGAGUGAUGGUGCUUGCACUAUCACUUAGCGGCGGACGGGUGAGUAAUGCUUAGGAAUCUGCCUAUUAGUGGGGGACAACAUCUCGCAAGGGAUGCUAAUACCGCAUACGUCCUACGGGAGAAAGCAGGGGAUCACUUGUGACCUUGAGCUAAUAGAUGAGCCUAAGUCGGAUUAGCUAGUUGGUGGGGUAAAGGCGUACCAAGGCGACGGUCUGUAGCGGGUCUGAGAGGAUGAUCCGCCACACUGGGACUGAGACACGGCCCAGACUCCUACGGGAGGCAGCAGUGGGGAAUAUUGGACAAUGGGGGGAACCCUGAUCCAGCCAUGCCGCGUGUGUGAAGAAGGCCUUAUGGUUGUAAAGCACUUUAAGCGAGGAGGAGGCUCUUUUGGUUAAUACCCAAGAUGAGUGGACGUUACUCGCAGAAUAAGCACCGGCUAACUCUGUGCCAGCAGCCGCCGUAACAC